rnacentral:rRNA from 1 species
AACGAACGCUGGCGGCAGGCUUAACACAUGCAAGUCGAACGCCCCGCAAGGGGAGUGGCAGACGGGUGAGUAACGCGUGGGAAUCUACCCAGGUCUAAGGAACAACUGAGGGAAACUUCAGCUAAUACCGUAUACGCCCUACGGGGGAAAGAUUUAUCGGAAUUGGAUGAGCCCGCGUUAGAUUAGCUAGUCGGUGGGGUAAUGGCCUACCAAGGCGACGAUCUAUAGCUGGUCUGAGAGGAUGAUCAGCCACACUGGGACUGAGACACGGCCCAGACUCCUACGGGAGGCAGCAGUGGGGAAUAUUGGACAAUGGGCGCAAGCCUGAUCCAGCCAUGCCGCGUGAGUGAUGAAGGCCUUAGGGUUGUAAAGCUCUUUCAGUGGGGACGAUAAUGACGGUACCCACAGAAGAAGCCCCGGCUAACUUCGUGCCAGCCGCCGCAGUAAUAC